GUGGGGGAUAUUGCACAAUGGAGGAAACUCUGAUGCAGCGACGCCGCGUGAGUGAAGAAGUAUUUCGGUAUGUAAAGCUCUAUCAGCAGGGAAGAUAAUGACAGUACCUGACUAAGAAGCCCCGGCUAACUACGUGCCAGCAGCCGCGGUAAUACGUAGGGGGCAAGCGUUAUCCGGAUUUACUGGGUGUAAAGGGAGCGUAGACGGAAUGGCAAGUCUGAAGUGAAAUCCUGCGGCUUAACUGCAGAAUUGCUUUGGAAACUGUCAAUCUGGAGUGUUGGAGAGGUAAGCGGAAUUCCAGGUGUAGCGGUGAAAUGCGUAGAUAUCAGGAAGAACACCGGAGGCGAAGGCGGCUUACUGGACAAUAACUGACGUUGAGGCUCGAAAGCGUGGGAAGCAAACAGGAUUAGAUACCCGAGUAGUCC
rnacentral:rRNA from 1 species